CAUGGCUGUCGUCAGCUCGUGCCGUGAGGUGUAUGGUUAAGUCCUGCAACGAGCGCAACCCUCGUCGCUAGUUGAUUUCUCUAGCGAGACUGCCCGCAAACGGGGAGGAAGGUGGGGAUGACGUCAAGUCAGCAUGGCCUUUAUAUCUUGGGCUACACACACGCUACAAUGGAUGGCACAAUAGGUUGCAACAGCGCGAGCUGAAGCUAAUCCCCAAAGCCAUCCUCAGUACAGAUUGCAGGCUGAAACCCGCCUGCAUGAAGUCGGAGUUGCUAGUAACCGCAAAUCAGCAUGUUGCGGUGAAUACGUUCUCGGGCCUU
rnacentral:rRNA from 1 species